AUUGAACGCUGGCGGAAUGCUUUAUACAUGCAAGUCGAACGGCAGCACGGACUUCGGUCUGGUGGCGAGUGGCGAACGGGUGAGUAAUGUAUCGGAACGUGCCCAGUCGUGGGGGAUAACGUAGUGAAAAUUACGCUAAUACCGCAUACGAUCUAUGGAUGAAAGCGGGGGAUCGCAAGACCUCGCGCGAUUGGAGCGGCCGAUAUCAGAUUAGGUAGUUGGUGGGGUAAAGGCCCACCAAGCCAACGAUCUGUAGCUGGUCUGAGAGGACGACCAGCCACACUGGAACUGAGACACGGUCCAGACUCCUACGGGAGGCAGCAGUGGGGAAUUUUGGACAAUGGGCGAAAGCCUGAUCCAGCCAUUCCGCGUGCAGGAUGAAGGCCCUCGGGUUGUAAACUGCUUUUGUACAGAACGAAAAGGUCUCUACUAAUACUAGGAGCUCAUGACGGUACUGUAAGAAUAAGCACCGGCUAACUACGCGCCAGCCGCCGCUGUAA
rnacentral:rRNA from 1 species